GACGAACGCUGGCGGCGUGCCUAAUACAUGCAAGUCGAACGCAGUGGGGACGGGUGAGUAACACGUGGGUAACCUCCCAUCAGAGGGGAGAAAACUUGGAAACAGGUGCUAAACCGAUACGGAUGGAGGGACCCGGGGGGCAUUAGCUAGUUGGUGAGGUAGAGGCUCACCAAGGCCACGAUGCAUAGCUGGCCUGAGAGGAUGACCGGCCACACUGGGACUGAGACACGGCCCAGACUCCUACGGGAGGCAGCAGUGGGGAAUAUUGGGCAAUGGACGAAAGUCUGAUCGAGCCAUGCCGCGUGUGUGAAGAAGGUUUUCGGGUCGUAAAGCUCUGUUGUUAGAGAAGCGGUAUCCAACCAGAAAGCCCCGGCUAACUACGUGCCAGCAGCCGCGGUAAUAC
rnacentral:rRNA from 1 species